AAACUAUGGUGAGGACAUUUUCUUAACAAAUCUUUAAAUCUUUCCCAAGCCUCAUACAAGCUUUCGUGAUCAUGAGCAAAA
rnacentral:snoRNA from 1 species